rnacentral:misc_RNA from 1 species
GGACUUAGGGCUUUUAACCUAGAGAUAGACUGAGAUUCUAUGUGGGGUUUAUAAUUAAUCAAAGAGCUUAAAAGGUCCUAAUUAAGAUUGAUUAUCACGAAAGUAGGGCUCAGGUUAAUUAAGAUACACUUUGAGUGCCUUAAGAUAAGACUUAAGAUAGUUUAUGAUUAAUUUUCUUCAAAGUAACAAAUUUUCAAUUUAUUGAAUGAAUGAGACUAGAUCUAUAAUAGGUUGAAGUGUGAAUUCCUAAUUUUGAAAUUGCUUUUAUUAAUUGAUUAACUUAGUUAAAUUGUUUUUCUUUCUUCUAUUCCAUUAGUUUAGAAUAAUUUAGUUUUAGAUU